ensembl:lncRNA
AAAUAUCACAGCUCAUUUCUAUGCUGAUAUUCUGGGGCCAAAACAAAGGAAAUCUGUCCUCAGAGUCCUUUGGCUCCUCAAAGGAGUUCAUUGUACAAGAGAUCACGUUAGCAUCAUGUUAGAACGUCUCUGUUAACGGGCAAACACUACAGCCUGACUUCAACUUCAUCCUUUAGUGUUAAUUCAUGAUAGAAACAUAGAUUUUACCAGCUUUAUGUUACAUACUGAAUAUAAACACCCUUGCAUUUUGUUUUCUUUGUGUUCUCUUUUACUUAAUCUAUGGAUUUUUACAAGGAGGCCGUAAUCACAUUUCUCUAAACUGUAAAUACAUGACUGUGAUUUGUAAAGUCACACUUCCACAUGAUAUUCUUGCCAUACAACUUUGUUUUGUGUGGUUAAACUGUUAAAUGUGAAGCUGAUUUAUUACUAGGGUUUAGCUUCUUCCUGUUAAAUGAGAAACCAGGUGGUCAGACAUAUGUAAGAAAUUUAUAAAGACUACAGAGUCUACCAUUCCUACCAUUCAUUCAGCAAUCAGAACUGUAAACAGUAUUCAAUAUUCAAGUAUUUAUUUUAAUAAAAACAGUCCUGAAGUAAAGCGUUCUCCUUGAAACACAUUCCCUUCGUAGGUCCUCGUAGCAUUAGCGAUCCUUGCUAGUAGCCCCAUUGCUAGCUAAAUGUCAAAGUUGGAAUCUGUGUGUUGAUUGUGCUAGAUAAUAACAUGAAACCUUUUAACCACAUUAUUGUUAUAAUUCUUUGAUUGUCUCUAAGUGUAAACCAAGCAUCUUUGCUCAUGUGGUCUGAUUAGGUGACAAAAGUGCUCGGCUAGCUCAGUAGAAGCAAAAAUCAGACACACUUCUGGAUCAUUUGUGUAUACAAAUGAUUAGGAAUGAACACAAUUUCUUUUAAAUAAUACAGUACGUGUGAUUCAAGCGCUGGGUGUCUUUGGCAAUCUCGCAAUUCUGAUAGUCCAUUAUCAAAUACAGCCCAUGAUCUGCAUGUCCCCAGCAGUGUCUGUUGUCUAGUGUCUAGUUUGUGUUGUUUUCUUCACCCCAUUACUGCCACUACAGGUUUGUGAAGUGCGAUGGAGAAUGAAGAAUUCACAAAAUACUUAAAUAAUACUAAUUAAGCAGUAGGGGUUUGUUUUAUAGAGAAACUACAAGGUGAUUAACUUUUUUUCUCCUGCAAUUACGAUCUUACAAAAAUUUGGCAUUUGUGAAUCACUGCAGAAUUUUAGGUAACAGUAUUUAUAUGUGACACAGUGUUUUUAACUCACCCCACACUGCGUGGCUGUGCUGGGCAUGUCCAAAAUGAAAAUUAGCUGAACCAGUAGUGGUUGU